rnacentral:rRNA from 1 species
GACGAACGCUGGCGGCGUGCUUAACACAUGCAAGUCGAGCGGAAAGGCCACUUCGGUGGUACUCGAGCGGCGAACGGGUGAGUAACACGUGAGUAAUCUGCCCCUGGCUUUGGGAUAGCCACCGGAAACGGUGAUUAAUACCGGAUACGACCACUUCUCGCAUGGGAUGGUGGUGGAAAGUUUUUUCGGCCAGGGAUGUGCUCGCGGCGUAUCAGCUUGAUGGUGAGGUAAUGGCUCACCAUGGCUUCGACGGGUAGCCGGCCUGAUAGGGUGACCGGUCACAAUGGGACUGAGACACGGCCCAGACUCCUACGGGAGGCAGCAGUGGGGAAUAUUGGACAAUGGGCGGAAGCCUGAUCCAGCAACGCCGCGUGAGGGAUGACGGCCUUCGGGUUGUAAACCUCUUUCAGCAGGGACGAAGCGCAAGUGACGGUACCUGCAGAAGAAGCACCGGCCAACUACGUGCCAGCCGCCGCCGUAA